rnacentral:tRNA from 1 species
GCCAACGUAGCUCAGCGGUAGAGCAGCGGUUUCGUAAACCGCAGGUCGUGAGUUCGAAUCUCACCGUUGGCUCCA